UACGAAGGGGGCUAGCGUUGCUCGGAAUCACUGGGCGUAAAGCGCACGUAGGCGGAUCUUUAAGUCAGGGGUGAAAUCCUGGAGCUCAACUCCAGAACUGCCUUUGAUACUGGGAGUCUCGAGUCCGGGAGAGGUGAGUGGAACUGCGAGUGUAGAGGUGAAAUUCGUAGAUAUUCGCAAGAACACCAGUGGCGAAGGCGGCUCACUGGCCCGGUACUGACGCUGAGGUGCGAAAGCGUGGGGAGCAAACAGGG
rnacentral:rRNA from 1 species